ACGAGCAGUGUAAUGGCUUAAAUGCCCCUUGGUGUCUACUUUGUUUCCCGUGGUCUUACCUGCUUGGUACAGUGAGAUGACGGUUUUGCCCAUGUUUGCCACGCGUCGGUCAUCGUUCAAUCGUAUCCUUUGCCUGGGUGUUCUAGAUAUUUUCUUCUGUUUGGGCUCCUUUCCUUCGCAGAUGUAUGCUUUUGCUGCUCUCCAUCGUGGUCUCUCUUGCUCUCGAAUCUUUUGUCCUUUUUUUCUCGCAAAAUCCAACCUUUUGCUUUUUUUUAUUUUUUUAUUUUUUAUUAGAUGUUUGCACCCUCCAUCUUGCUUUUCCUUUUGCUACCUCCCAGACAAAAUGAUCCAUGUCCUCUCCUUGGUGGCUUCCACGUCUUGCACCGAAAGGUUGUGGCAUCCUGUUGUUUCCAGCUCACCACGUUUUGUUCUUAUCGGACUCUGAGUGGAAUAUUUGUAGUUGGUAAAAUUUGUUGCAAAAAUUGGGGGAUCAAUUUGCAUUUGGGGGAGUGUUAUGCUUCCUUAUUGAUAUACUGCAUUGAAAAAAAAAAAACCAAUGUAUUCAGUAUAAUUAUCGCAGUAAUUUUUAUAAGCUAUAAAGUGUUUUUGCUCGAAUUGGAAAAAAUAAAAUAAAAAAGGAGUUUAAAGAAGCUUGGGGUUUUUGUAUUUUGCACAGUUUGUUUCUAGGUUGCAAAGCAUUUUAUGCUCAAGAGUAAACAGUAUGUUAUCCGCUAAGGCAAAAGGGAGUUGCAGUUUCCUUCAUAUGGCAAACAGAGCCCCAGCAAAAAAUUCUUCCAAACUUGCAACAGAUACAAACUCUCCACAUAACUUUAGAAGCUAAGGAAUAUCAAAUGCCAAACUGAGUCCAGCUAAACUUCAUCAAAAAAGGCUGGCUACAGUUAAGUGUAGGCAAGUGAUGAAAUAGACAUAUGCUCAUGGAUAUUAUUUACCAGAGUGAACAUGCCAAGAAACAAUCAUUUCAGCACUUGCAAGUUUCUUUUGCUCAGCUCUUGCUCACUCUUGAGGUACCUGUCGUAGGAUUCCUUUUGUUGUUGCUGAUCUGCAGAUCCUCCAAGAUGAAGGCUUUCAAUAUAAAAAGAUGGUUCAGAAACACCAAAACAUUGCAGAUAUCACCGGAGGUAUCACAAAAAAAAAAGAAACAUCUCAUUUCAACCAACUCAAGCCAACAAACUUUUACGGCACUUAAAAACAUUAUCCAAACUCCCAACUCAACAACAUGAUCUCACUGAAUGCUUCAGCGAUGUUCUACAACGAUACAAAUUGCUUCUUUGAUAUACUUAUUUUGUGGGAUUUCAAUGCCGAAAACCACUUACUUUCAAUCUUUUCAAACAAGUUAACUUUGUAAACUAACAACAAACGAAAGAAGUUGUUUACUCUCUUGAUGUCAAUCUGUUUAGAUUGAUCAAUGUUAUCCUCCACUUUGAAACCUAUGUUAUGGCUCUAUUAGUCUCAGCUUAAACGCUGCUAGAAACUUAGAGAUGCAUUCAUUAAUUCAAAUUUAUCUAUUGCUCAAAGCUUAGAAGUUUUCUGGUUAUACUGGAUUUAACUUUGGCAAUCUUUCACUGACCGAAACCCUCGCUGCCUUUUUGUUUCGUUCACAGCCAUUGCAAAACCCUCUCCCUCAAAAUGUCACACCAGCAAAUUCGAUUUCCCAAGUUCUCACACCUAAUCUAAACCCUCACACCCACUGCCAUCGCAAAACCCCCAUCAAAUCCUACAACCAACAAAUUCAAUUUCACAACCUUUCACGCCUAAUCUAAACCCUCACACCUAUCCCUCGCGACUUCACUAUCAAGUGUUCAAGGUAUGGAUUGAACUCUGAAUCUUCCUGCACCACCGGUCUCCGCAACGUUUUCCAAAUUGAAGCGUGAGAAUAUGGGUCCGAGAUGGGAUUCUUCCAAUUCCUGAGCAGGGAAAACAGGGAGGGAUGGUGACAGUAGAGAACCAACUUCUUUGUGGUGGAAAUCAUAGCUUCAUUUUAGAUUUUCUUUUGGGUUUAUGAAAUGGGUUGGAAUGAUGUCUCAUGAUUAUUGAACGUUUUUUAAUAUACUUGUGAACCAAAUAAUCUAUUCAUGUCUCAUGAUUAUGUGAAUAUUGAUAAAUUUAGUUGUGAACCAGAAUCUGGAUAUCAACCAAGGACUCACUGCGAGAGGGUUCAUGUUUUUUUUGUAAUUUGAUUAUUUUGAGCUCAUAUUUUUUAUACUUCUGUUUUUGAAAGAAUUAAUUGUUAAUUGUUAUGUUGCAUUUCAAGGCACGAAGCCAGGACAGAGUUUUCGUCUGCACCAAUAAGUAAAAGAUUCAAUAUUUUCACUCUGGAGACUCUGGAUGGCCUAUGUGUAGCCAUUAAAGGGUUCAUAAACGGGCAGAGAAUUUUCGAAAAUGGGAUUCCGUCUGAGUUUCCAAUUUUGGGUUUGCCUGGAAAUUUUGAUCGUUGGCCGACACCCGGACUGCAACAUCAUCUUGGCUUUGCAAAUUCCACCUCCAAAUCCUUUCUAACCCUUUUUUUCCCAAAAGCUUUCUCACCGAUUUGUGAUCAGUGUGAGAAAUUGGCUUCAAAAUUGGAUUUUCCAAUGUCUGGGCAAAGGAAAACAGGAAGAGAACACCAAUGGUGGUGACGAUGGAGAAUCCCUUCUUUGCGGUGGAAAUUGACGGUCCAUGUGCAGCAUUCAGCCCACUUUAUAAGGGCAGGGGUCAAUAUGAAGAACCAAUGACACGGGGAUUUGUUUAAUUUUAUUGUACUGAGGUAAAACUCUCCCCAUUUAACAUAGUUUUAAAUGCUGAUUAGUAUAUGUGUAAAUAGUAUUGUGAGUAUGGUUGUAUAUAUGUAGUAGUAGAAUUGAAAACAUUGUUUGUAAUUAUGUGUAACUAGAGUGUAAACCCGCGGGCUUUUUUGCUUGUAGUAAUUAAACGUGCAAAUCUGGUCUUA